rnacentral:rRNA from 1 species
GACGGAGGAUGCAAGCGUUAUCCGGAAUUAUUGGGCGUAAAGCGUCCGCAGGUGGCUGUUCAAGUCUGCUGUCAAAGCGCAGAGCUUAACUCUGUACAGGCGGUGGAAACUGAAGAGCUAGAGUAUGGUAGGGGUAAAGGGAAUUUCCAGUGGAGCGGUGAAAUGCGUAGAGAUUGGAAAGAACACCGAUGGCGAAGGCACUUUACUGGGCUAUUACUAACACUCAGAGACGAAAGCUAGGGUAGCAAAUGGG